rnacentral:rRNA from 1 species
GACGAACGCUGGCGGCGUGCUUAAUACAUGCAAGUCGAACGGUAAGGCCCUGCUCUUGUGGGGUGCUCGAGUGGCGAACGGGUGAGUAACACGUGAGUGACCUGUCCUUGACUGUGGGAUAACACCAGGAGACUGGGGCUCAAACAGGGUAGGAGAGCCUGCUGCGUGGGGGGGGUUGGAAAGUUUCGGCGGUUGGGCAUGGACACGCGGAUCAUCAGCUUGUUGGUGAGGUGGUGGGUUACCCAGGCAUUGACGGGAAGCCGGCCUGCGAGGGUGACCGGCCCCAUUGUCCCUGGGGUGCCGCCCGUACUGCUUCGGGGGGCAGCAGCGGGGGAUAGUGCGCGAUGGGCGGAAUCCGGAUGCAGCAACUCCGCGUGCGGGAUCACGGCCUUCGGGUUGUAAACCGCUUUCGCCUGGGACGAAGCGUGAGUGACGGUAAUUUGUAAAGAAGCACCGGCUAACUACGUG